rnacentral:rRNA from 1 species
UAGUGGCGAACGGGUGAGUAACACGUGGGCAAUCUGCCCUUCACUCUGGGACAAGCCCUGGAAACGGGGUCUAAUACCGGAUAACACUUCCUGCCGCAUGGUGGGGGGUUAAAAGCUCCGGCGGUGAAGGAUGAGCCCGCGGCCUAUCAGCUUGUUGGUGGGGUGAUGGCCUACCAAGGCGACGACGGGUAGCCGGCCUGAGAGGGCGACCGGCCACACUGGGACUGAGACACGGCCCAGACUCCUACGGGAGGCAGCAGUGGGGAAUAUUGCACAAUGGGCGAAAGCCUGAUGCAGCGACGCCGCGUGAGGGAUGACGGCCUUCGGGUUGUAAACCUCUUUCAGCAGGGAAGAAGCGAAAGUGACGGUACCUGCAGAAGAAGCGCCGGCUAACUACGUGCCAGCAGCCGCGGUAAUACGUAGGGCGCAAGCGUUGUCCGGAAUUAUUGGGCGUAAAGAGCUCGUAGGCGGCUUGUCACGU